rnacentral:rRNA from 1 species
AUGGCUGGUGGCGAUGCUGGAAACGCCCACCCGGCGGUGCUACAACCAGUGGGGGUGGGGACACUCGCUGAGCUGCAAAGGCCUACAGCACUGGACAUAUUUGUUUCGACAGGAGGGUGGGCAGCACCGGCGAGGGGCGCGCGGGAGGCUACUGUUGACAGCAGGGGCGUGGGGCGCGUGCUGCACGACGGCGGCGAGUGGAACUUCGAUCUGCCAGUGGGAGGGGCGCGGCCUUGCUCGAUGCGAGCGGACGGCUUUCUUUUGUUUCCUUUGGCGAAGGAAGAAAACAUUGCGGAUCCAAUCGAGCGGCUGUGGAUGCAUGUAUCGGGCGGCUAG